rnacentral:rRNA from 1 species
GGUAGUCUCGCACAGAUGCAUAUCAAUAAGCGGAGGAAAAGAAACUAAUAAGGAUUCCCCUAGUAACGGCGAGUGAAGCGGGAAGAGCUCAAAUUUGAAAUCUUAAAGGGUUUCCCUUUACGAAUUGUAGUUUAAAGAAGUGUUUUCUGUUGAGGUUUUGGUAAAAGUUCUUUGGAAUAGGACAUCAUAGAGGGUGAGAAUCCCGUAUUUGACCUUUACUUUCAACUUUGUGAUACACUUUCAAAGAGUCGGAUUGUUUGGGAAUGCAGUCCAAAAUGGGUGGUAAAUUUCAUCUAAAGCUAAAUAUUGGCGAGAGACCGAUAGCGAACAAGUACCGUGAGGGAAAGAUGAAAAGAACUUUGAAAAGAGAGUUAAACAGUACGUGAAAUUGUCAAAAGGGAAGCGUUUGACACCAGUGUUGUUUUUCUGAAAAUCAAUUAAAGAACUGUUUAUGCUAAGUUGUUUAGACUUUAUCAGCUAACUGUUUAGUUUUGAGCUUUUCUUUAAUGCACUUUUCAGUUAACAAGUCAACAUCAAUUUCUUUUGCUGUAAAAAAGCUUGAGGAAGGUGGCUUGAGAUUCGUCUUAAGUGUUUAUAGCCUCUUGCCUAUGCAGUCGGAGAGAUUGAGGUCUGCAGCGUAGAUCCUUCGGGGCUAAAUGCAUUUGUGCUAAGUUAUAGCAUUUUAUAGACAACUUGUUGACUAUGAUUUGUCUUGUAGCUUACUCGCUUAUGUUAUUUUACCUACGCUUAGGAUGUUGAUAUCGCGCUCUCACUG